rnacentral:rRNA from 1 species
UAGGGAAUCUUCGGCAAUGGACGAAAGUCUGACCGAGCAACGCCGCGUGAGUGAAGAAGGUUUUCGGAUCGUAAAACUCUGUUGUUAAAGAAGAACACGUAUGAGAGUAACUGUUCAUACGUUGACGGUAUUUAACCAGAAAGUCACGGCUAACUACGUGACAG